CUGUGUCCUCGCCGCAGGUUGCCGAGUGUCAGCGACCUUCUCCCUUUUUGGCUGCGAUGGACAGUGGGCCACCGCUCUUGGGCUGAGGCUUGCUAUCAAUCACACCACACGAGAUGCACGUCAAAUACAAGAUUUGUCAACAAGGACCGUGGGUUGGAACAUCUCUGACCUCCACCUUCCUCUGAAGUUUCUCAGGUGAAAUUGUGUUGUAAUCCUAUUCUAUUGAGUGAAUCUAAUAAGGAAAUACUCCUAAGACCGACUUGGAAUGUUCUGUUUCUUGUGGAGGACCUAAUACUUAGUUAUACACUCCAAAAAAAAAUACAACAAGCGGGCCUAAGGAUUUUAAUCCUCCAAGUUGUUUAAGAAAAACGGAUUUGCUAGUUCUCAGUCGCCUGAGAAAUUGGUAUUUCUCAGUCGAUGCACUGGACUGCCGGAUCAUACAUUGAGAUUCGUACCAGCGUUUAUGCAAAACAGAGUGAAUGUAAAUAUAGAUCCACAACUCCAUGUAUUCUGUUAGAGUAGACUGGUGCAGUGGCAAACACUAGUGCGCUGGGUUGGAUUGGAUGUGUGGGGAUGGGAAGUUUGAAUCCACUCCUGCCCUUUUUUUAGUUUUUUCUUCAUUUUGUUUCUUUUUUCUUCCUUUUGUUUUAUGUUUCUUUUUCUUUAUCAUUUCCUUUUUCUUAUUUAUAGUUCGCUUCUUCUUUUUUAUCUUUUGAUUCUUCUCUUUUCAUUAUCCCUUGUUUCUAUAUGGAACACUAAUAUGUAUUUCUUUGUUCCUUUUUCUUCUUUUGCUUCAUUUUUUGUUUGUUUCCCUUGACAAUAUUAGAGUGACUAGUUAGGGUUAGUAACCCCAUAAUUGUAUGCGGGUUGCAGCUGUAAUUUUCGAGUUGGGUGGACGUUGCGACUGCAAUUUUUCCGGUUGGAAAAUAGUUUCGACUAUAAUUUUUCUGGCAACUUUAAAAUCACACCCGUAAUUUUUUUCAUGCGGUUUCAACUGUAUUUUUUUUUCUUUUAUGUUGCACCUGUGAGUUUCCGCCCGAAUGAGGUUUCAACCGUAACUUUGUAAAAAGUUUAGUUGCACAACGAUUGCAACUAUACUUUUCCCAUUUGUAUGAAAAUUUCAACUGUAAUUUUUUGAACUACAGAAUAGUUGCAGAUAUAAUUUUUCAAGUACCAUGAAAUUUGCACUGUAAUUUUCCUAGUUUAAAUCGGAAUACGCAUCGUGAAUGAGUUUUGGAUUUUUUUUUUUUGGGACCAAAUCCAAGCAACGUACGUACACAAUAACCCAGCAGCCAGCUAUGUCACCCGAAGGCCAACACACACACACGCACGCACACACGAUGCCACGAGCGCGCACACACGUGCACACACAGGCAGGAGAGGCCUGCAUGCACGGCAGGCUUUGUGCCAGGAGAGGCUUGCAUGCAAUAGAAUUGCUCGGUAUUGAUUUGGUGGACUGAGAAUCUCUCGGGAUUUAUCUCGUCGACAGUCGACUGAGCGUCAGACAUUCCCUAAGAAAAACACUUUGAAUAAAAUGAGCACUUUAUAUUUAUCCGUACCAAUUAUAACUUUGCUAAUUCUAGUUUUCA
rnacentral:lncRNA from 1 species